UACGUAGGGUGCAAGCGUUGUCCGGAAUUAUUGGGCGUAAAGAGCUCGUAGGCGGUUUGUCGCGUCGGCUGUGAAAACCUAGGGCUCAACUCUGGGCUUGCAGCCGAUACGGGCAAACUAGAAUUCGGUAGGGGAGACUGGAAUUCCUGGUGUAGCGGUGAAAUGCGCAGAUAUCAGGAGGAACACCGGUGGCGAAGGCGGCAUUCUGGACCGACAUUGACGCUGAGGAGCGAAAGCCAGGGGAGCAAACGGG
rnacentral:rRNA from 1 species